UACGUAGGGUCCGAGCGUUGUCCGGAAUUACUGGGCGUAAAGAGCUCGUAGGCGGCUCGUUGCGUCGGCUGUGAAAACCCGCAGCUCAACUGUGGGCUUGCAGCCGAUACGGGCGGGCUAGGAUUCGGUAGGGGAGACUGGAAUUCCUGGUGUAGCGGUGAAAUGCGCAGAUAUCAGGAGGAACACCAGUGGCGAAGGCGACUACCUGGCCUGUUCUUGACGCUGAGGCGCGAAAGCUAGGGGAGCAAACGGG
rnacentral:rRNA from 1 species